CAAAACUCCAGAUCCUCUCUCUCUCUCUCUCGCUCUACGACUCAAGAACAUCAUGCCAGAUCUCUCAUCAGAUGCCGUUUCAUGACAAGAUCGUUGAAGUGGUUCCGACACCUGAGCUCUGGUGGAGGAGACUAGGGUUUCGGCGAAGAUAAAGCCAUCGAGGCUGAACCACCGGUGCAGGGUUUCUUUACCAGUCGCUUCAAGAUAUACGCUUCCUCAGCGAUGAAUCUCUCUAGAUCCAACACGAGAUCGACUGAUCUGCCGUUGAGUUGUUCGUGUUAGGGUGCACCGGAAUAACCAGAUGUGUAUCAUCUGGAAUGAACAAGCUGGAUAACCAGUCGAUCUCUACAAAAUUUCAGUAAGGUAUUGUUCGAGCCCUAGCUUUUUUAUUGAGUGAACUCUGUUUAUGAAGCUGUGAUUGACUGAUUUCAUGUUGUUUCAACAUCGGAUGUGUUGUUGUAGCUGAUGAAAGGAUGACUAGAUGAAUAAUAACUGUUUUGUUUGGUUAAUUUGAUUGUUUUGAAUUGGAUGUGUUGCUAUAGUUGAUAAAAGAAGAAUUAAGUGAAUAGUAAGACCGUGUGUAGUGGGGCGUGAUUUAUAAAAUUUUUUCAAAAAAAAAAAAACGCCCUAUAACGCCCCGGUAACCACUACACCCGACGUUACCGGGCGUUAUUACCACUACACGUGGUCUAACUGUUUUGUUAGGGUUUACGUUGUUUACUUUUGUAGUCGUCAAUUUGUUUGCCAAUAUUAUCAUUAUGAGACCAUUUUCUCCAAUUAGCAUAAAUUAGUAUUAUAUAUACGUGAAAUGUAAUUUGUUUCUUAGCUUAAGAUAAAAAUAGACUUAAGUUUUAUUUUACUUCCAUUCAGUUGCUUGAAGUAUUCUAAACAUUAAACCAUAUUAAGUAUAUUUCUUUUCCUGUGAAUGUUUAAUAUUUUCCUAACUUGAUUUGGUGAAUGUAAUGUUUUUCAAUUUCUAUUCAGUUGUGGUAUACAUAUACUGACUUUGGCAUUGUUAUUUUUUUACUUUAAACAAAAUGUUGAAAAUAGUUUUUUAACCCUUGAAGUAUCUCAUGAAUCUUUUCGAACCUGCAACUCUGUUUCUAAUUAAUUUUUCCGGGAUGUGCAUAACUUGAGAAAAUCGCGGGGUCCACCAAGGAGACUAUGAAACUACGCUCACUGACUCUAUAUCGCGAGGACUCCGAAGCAAACGGUGUGUCUAGCUGAUAUUUAACAGUGUCGUAAAGUGGGAUAGCACGAAAAUAAAAAAAGGUAUUUGUUGCAUCCAACAUUUGCACACGGAAGUACUCUGGUCUUAUACGAGGUCCUGACCGGAAAGCGUUACAUUUGUGACAUUAUUGCUGAUUCUGUGGUUCUUGGUUUCUUCAUUGAAGCCGAAAAGAUACUCUCAGUGCUCGGAAUCGAUGAUGCAGUUGAUGACUUUUUGUGGCAGGAAAGCUCAAUCAUACUCUCGAAACUCUUGGUCCCGCAGUCCCGCAAAUCUUUGAGAAAACGGCGAUGCAUGACCUACGGACUCUUGUGGCAGAAAGAUCAACUAUGAACACAUAUAUAAGCGGAGAGAGUUUUGAGAUAUGAUCGGUCUGUUAUUAGAAGGAUUCAUUAAAACGCAGGGUACGUUAGAACUUAUUACUGCACCAGCUGCACUAUUCCCGUCAUACGGCAACCGCAGUUUCCGAGUGUCAGAAAUAGUAGCAGCCGGAAGCUUUUGUCACCAUGCAACCUCGUACGUAGUUGAGACAAGGUCAUGGGUGAUGAUGUUUGAGAUUAGUGGAUUUGAAGGAACAGGAACCCUUCAGAGCAGGGUGUCUUCGUUAAUAUCACAUGGCGGGGCGGGGGAAAACCCGUCCUCGGCCCGGGAACAUAGCGGUCUAAUGAGUUGGCAACAGGGCUCUUUUAAGAGAGAGUUUCUCUCAUCUCCAUACCGAUGUUCAAGGAAUUGAAACAAAGACAUUAUCAAUUAUGGUUUUUCAAUUUGUUUUUUGCAAGAAAUAUUAAAACCGUUCUGAUUCCUUGAAUGCAGGGUUGCACUUAGGGUUUUUCAAUGCUUUUGUCUUGCAGAUUUAGAUUUCAUCUCAUCAGAUGUGGGUUCCUCUGAUGUUAUCCUUUUUUUUGUGGGAGAAAGAGGGAGCUGGAGAGAAGAAUGGGCAGAGGAGUGAGAGAAUGGAAGAUGGGAGCCGGCCAAGAUGCCGAUGGUGGAUGGUAUUAGUGUCGGAAGAUGGAUGGGUCGGUAACCAUCGUAAACCCCGACGGCGGCGCUAGAGGUUCCGAUAACCACAGACUUCCGGCGAACACAAUGGUGAAGACAGAGAGACGCUAACUUUUUAGAUCCUUCGGCGGCUGCAGGUAAGUCUCGCGGUGACUACACCAACGAACGAAGGUACCGGAUCUUGUGGAUCUGGUGUUGACGGCGUCUCGGGUUCCGCAAUAGGCGGCAGAGACAGCUGCUAUGUGGUUGUACUGACCUUAUUAGAAAAGAACCGUCAUGGUACUUGUGACGGUGGCAUAUGAACGGGGAUGGAUUCAGAUUGCAGGGAAUUUGUUGGCAGUUUGCAAACUCAUAAAUCUUCCCUCUAAGCCUCUCUCUCCAGGUCAAGCUGGUACUAAAGGUAGUUCAAGUCAUCGAUUGUCAAGGACGAGUAGUUGCCUUGAAUGCUGGCAGCAAGUUAUGUGCUUCAGCAUUUUUCUUACCUGUAGAGCGACUAAAUAUAAUAGAUAUGUUAUCCAUAUAUCCCGCUUAGCAUCGUCAAACUAUCUUCUGUCUUCUGUAAUGUAUUGAAGACGCAACAUGUCAAGUUUACUAAAAAUCAUUUUUGUUGACCUUACAUGUGGCUGUGCUUUGAAUUUCUUGCGGAAGGGAGGAGAUCUUUUCAAGAUAAAUGGGAGGCUCCUACAAUCCUCCACGUCUAGCUGAGCCAGUGCCUGAACCGGCUAAAGCGGAGGGGUGCGCUUCUGAACCAGCAACAGAAAACAGUCAGGUUAAAACAACAUAACUGAUUACCUGUUCACACCUGGAGGAUUUUCAUGCCUUUAUAUGGCUCAAGCUUUAAAAAAAUUUCCCAUGAGGCGCCUUCUUUUCAUCCAUAAGUGGUUUGCCGGCCUGCGUUUCUUCCGCGCAACAACACAUGCUUGACAUAAUUUUUUGUUUCUAUUUUUUCCUUUUUUUUUUCUUUUUUUUGUUGGGCUUAAAUUCUAUUUGGUGCUUGACAUAUUUAGUUUUAUACAUUGUUUAUAUAUAAUUUUGAGAUGGUAUUAAACUUGUAAUGGAUAUGGAAACAACGAUGAAUCUUGUUCAUAUUGGUUUGGGCA